AGCUUCUCCUCCCUUGCUUGUGGACAAAGCUGUGUCUGCCAAGGCCUCUGUCAUGGCCAGUAGCCCUAAGUGUAAGUUGAUGUGAAAUUGUAGAAAAGAUAAAAGAAUGGAGACAAUGCUUUUUGAAGUUUUAACUCUCUUUCACUGUGUGCUUUCACCAUAUAGCAUAUUUACAGAUGUAUAAUGAAGAAGCUGCAGACACUGAGGCGACUCGACCGGAAUUAGAGCGGAUUCUGGAUCCCAGUGGUCGGCAGUUUUUAAGCGUUUUAGAUCUAGAGGACAUGAUGCAGCAUGUGUUGCCGGAUCCCAGUCCAGAACCACAAGACAUUCCCUCCAUCUGUCCUUCUUUACCUACAUCUGCUCAGCUUCAUGUUCUUGCAAUUUCUGCCAUCAGGGGUGCUCCUGCUGAUCCACAAACAGCAGAUCCCAUUCAGAAAGAUCUCCUGAAACUCAGCACAGGUCAGCAUGAAUUCUACACUGAAUACAAUCAUCCCUUUGUUGACUCUGUUGAAUUAAAGCACUGCUGGUAUGACCUAAUCCUCAUCCAAAUAUCUUUGUGUAUCCUAGACAUCCAAAACGAGAAUCCUUUAUGCAGUGAUACUGAGCACGGAGUUUCAGAGAGAAACACUCCAUGCCACAGUGUGGCGGUUGAUCAGUCUGACUAUGAGAUCUGUCGAGCCAUAAAAAACCAAAGUGUUGUACCCCAAAGGGACUCCUCCUCUCUUCCUACAGUCUGGUUCUCCUCCCGCCUGUCAGACCUUGACGUACAAUUAGCUGCUUUGCAGAAGAUUGCAGAUGAUCUGGAGAAAGAUUUCUCUAACUCCAGGAUGCUGGUGAACACAAUUGAAAAGCUCACCACCGACAAGCCUUCUAAUGUGAAGACUACCACAACAGUAAAAAAAACUGUCAGACUGUCUGUGCCACAGAAAGCAUGGACAUCGAGAUCUGAUCUGGACUGUGAAGAAGAAGAGGAAAGUCAAGAAGAAGAAGAGUUUCAAAAUGACUCCUGGCAAACAGCAAAAGGGCUUUCAUUUAAUUAUUCUACUUCUCCUCCAAGUCACAGAGCUGGUCCUUCCUGUCUCCACUCUCCACCAAGAAUGAGAGAUGAGUUUAAUGAACCACACAGGACAUCAUAUGCGUGGACAAAUGAGAAUCUGGGUCAGUCUGGGCUAUCUGAUACAGUGGAAAUCUUAGACGAGUUGGUAAAGGAAGGGUAUUUAUCUUCAACGGAACUGGAUUUCUCCACUUCACAUACUGCACACCAGAGCAGCAGGCCAGACCAGGCACAAAGUAGCUGGAUGUCGCAGAAACGUGUCCGUUCGGAGGAUGAGCGGCGGGAACUGAGGAUCUGGAUGAGGAGGAAGCAGAGAGAGAGACUGGCUGCUUAUCAAAAACAAAGAGAGAAUCUGAGAGAGAGGGAGUGCAAACCAUUCACAAUCUCUCCAACAUUGGUGAGAAAUGGUUGCCUUUUUACUGCAGUUUAUUGCCUUUGA
ensembl:lncRNA